CGAAGGGCGUAGCGUUGCUCGGAAUUACUGGGCGUAAAGGGAGCGUAGGCGGACAUUUAAGUCAGGGUGAAAUCCCGGGCGUCAACCUCGGAAUUGCCUUUGAUACUGGGUGUCUUGAGUAUGAGAGAGGUGUGUGGAACUCCGAGUGUAGAGGUGAAAUUCGUAGAUAUUCGGAAGAACACCAGUGGCGAAGGCGACACACUGGCUCAUUACUGACGCUGAGGCUCGAAAGCGUGGGAGCAAACAGGAUU
rnacentral:rRNA from 1 species